GACAAACGAGUGGAGAGGGGAAAAGGAUAGUAGCCCUUUAACUUGUUGCCAGUCAACAUUAUUUGGUGGUGCGGUGCAGUGCGGUGGAGAGUUUCCGGUGCCAGUGAUAUUGCGUUGUUGCGCGGGGCUCGAUCUGGAAGGUAGUGUCAGGAAGGCGCCUUGGUGCUUUUUGUUUCACUCGUGGCGAGCUCUUUGCCAACGUCGUUUGAUUGCCGCCCCUUCGCGUAGCCUCGUCGGAGCUCUGACGCGGGUGAUUGAGGUCGCUGUGAAACGUCCGCCCCGAAGACAGCGACUGUCGGUUGAUGAUCGGCUUCUCCUUCACCUCUGGGAUUCAGUGUAGCAGCAAAAUUCAUGAUAAAGUGAACAAAAUUCUUUAUUUCUCCGAAGAGAUACUGGACUACAUUUUUCUGUCGCUUGACAACUUUCGAGGAAAAGAAAUGAGAUAGAAAAUAAUUUCUAAUUCUAGUUUCAUCGUAUUUAAAAUAAAAUAAAAAAAAUUGAGUAGUAUUGAAAGCUGAUCUUAAGAGUCUACAUCGUUGAUUCAAAAAGUGCCAAAUGCAAUGAAAUUCCAAGCCAGACUAAACAUGAGGUCAUUCAUUUCGAACUUACCUUUUUCCCCGUAAAAUAAAAAUAUUGGUUACAAACCAGGUGGGUACACAGUACUCAUGUUUGAAAUUCACCUUAAUUCCACAGACAUUGUACACUUUAGAAUAGUAAAAGUGGAUGUCUCACUUCUAACCAACAUUCUCAUUCCAUGUUUCUUCUUAUCAAUAAUAAAAAUUACAGAAAAAAAGAAUCAGAUGUUCGAAUUUCGGCGCU
rnacentral:lncRNA from 1 species